ACCAUCCUUUUCUUGGGGUUGUGGGGCUGUUCAAUGAGCGAAUGGCGAGAACAGCACUGCUAACACCAUUACAACACUUUCGCAUCACCUGGGCGCAAGUCCAGCUCCUGGUGCAAUUUUUGGAGCC